GGCCUUAUAUUCAAAAAUGAUAUUAAAUUGCAAAUUUAAAGGGGUAUUAAUACUAAGGCUU
rnacentral:tRNA from 1 species